rnacentral:rRNA from 1 species
AACGAACGCUGGCGGCAGGCUUAACACAUGCAAGUCGAGCGCACCGCAAGGGGAGCGGCAGACGGGUGAGUAACGCGUGGGAAUCUACCCAUCUCUACGGAAUAACGCAUGGAAACGUGUGCUAAUACCGUAUACGUCCUUCGGGAGAAAGAUUUAUCGGAGAUGGAUGAGCCCGCGUUGGAUUAGCUAGUUGGUGGGGUAAAGGCCUACCAAGGCGACGAUCCAUAGCUGGUCUGAGAGGAUGAUCAGCCACACUGGGACUGAGACACGGCCCAGACUCCUACGGGAGGCAGCAGUGGGGAAUAUUGGACAAUGGGCGCAGGCCUGAUCCAGCCAUGCCGCGUGAGUGAUGAAGGCCCUAGGGUUGUAAAGCUCUUUCACCGGUGAAGAUAAUGACGGUAACCGGAGAAGAAGCCCCGGCUAACUUCGUGCCAGCAGCCGCAGUAACAC